AAUAAGACGCCAAACUUCACACUGGUCUGACCUUUGUCGUCUGGAAGAAAGUUGGUACAAAAGAUUUUACAGAUCAUCACAAAAUGGAAAGCAGCAAUCAGAGAAUUGGAACUUUUUGGCUUACAAUCAAAACUUCCUGUUUAGUGGAAAACCAAGACUACAUAUUGUCCUGAACACACCAUAAACAUGGCAAGACAUGGCGGUGGCAGCGGCAUGUUGUGGGAAGUUGAAUGAAGCUGAAUAAAGAAUAAAGGGUAAAAAUGUGUUGGAGGUAAAAGACUUUAGAAUGAGGCAGAAAAAAAGCCUAAUAUAAAACCAGACAUGCAAAACAAUGGCCUGUAUUAAAGCAUAUUCAUGUCCUAAAAUGGCCUAAUCAAAGUCAAGACAUGAAUUAAAUUAGAAAUCUUUGUCAGGACAUGAGAAUUGGUGUUUACAGAAACUAUUUUGCUAAAAGUAAUAGUAGGAGUUAUCAUAUUGUUUAUCUUUCAUUGUGAUAAAUUUCUUAUAAGGAUUUUGAUUUAUUGUCGUCACUAUAAACUCCAAUUAAUGAUGUUUAAAACCCCACAAAACUGUCCGUAUUGCUGUGAUUAUUUUUUUUUUACUAUUUUUCUCCAUUGUUUGUUCAAUGAAACUAUGAUUAAAUAUCAAUGGCGUUUGCAGUCACAGCAAUACAGUUACGUAAAAA